rnacentral:lncRNA from 1 species
GAGAGAGAGAGGCGGCAGCUUGCUCCACACGCCUCCGCCGUGUCGAGAUUUCCGACUCGCCGGAGAGGAAUGGAAGAGGCCCGCGCGAGAAUCGUCGCCUCCGCCGUGGCCAGAUUGAACCUAGUACCGUGGGCGACGCGGACGCAUGCCACUCCGGCCGCUGCCCUCGCGCCGCCCGUCGGCGACAUCCCGCACGCCCAGUGGCGGGGGCUACCCGACGACGUCGUCGCCAGGGUGCUCGUCCGCCUCCCCGUCCUCGACCUGUUCCGCCUCGGUUACCUCUUCUCCCCGCGCUGGCUCGACAUCUGGCGAGCCAACCCGCUGCAUCUCCACGACCGCCAGUUCGCCUCUCCCCGGAUCGCCGCCGACGACGUCGCCGACGCCAUCGCCAACGUUCUCGAGCUCCACGUCGGGGACGGCGUCCAGUUCGUAGGCGUACAAGGAGGCGUUGGGAGCGACGACGACGACGAUGGAGAUGGAGGUGGAGGCGACGAGGUAGUUGGUGCGGAUGGCGACGACCUGGGCGUCAUCGUCAACCCUGGCCUGGUGGAUGACGACGACGAUGGUGGCGAUGAUCAUGACGGGGGCCUCGACGUCGCCGAAGACGAGGCAGCAGUUCAAAACGCCGGAGUCGUCGACGAUUCUGGACCGGGGGUCGCCGUCGAACUCGAAGAGGGGCCAGAAGAUGAAGCCAGUGGAGUCGAAGACGAAUCAGCAGAUCAAGCCGGCCGCCACCGCCCCCCAUCCCCUGGAGGCAUAGGCGCCGACGACGGCGUCAUCAGCGACGACGACCUCUACGGCCACGACGACAUCCCAGCUGGUGGUUACGAGAUCGGCCGCGUCUACAGCUUCCGAGUGGAGACCACGCGGUGGCGCCUCGACCACCUCGACCGCUGGUGCGCCGCGCUCCAGCGCGGCCGUGUUCGUGAGGUCAUCCUCGCCAACCUCGCCAUAGAAGGGCACCCCGACCUCCCCCAGGGCAUCCGCGACUGCGGCACAAGCCUCAAGGGACUCCACGUCUCCUUCACCGUGGAAGCGGACCACAUCGACCCCCUCGUCAAUCUCCGCGGCCUCGGGCUGUGCGGCUGCGCCAUCAACCACGGCGUAAUCUCGCGAGCACUCCGGCCCGAAUCGGAAAUCCGGGGGCUGACGGUCGAUUUCAACAGGCAGCUGGGAGACGUCUCCGUCCAGAACACGCGCCUCCGGUCUCUGGAGAUGUUCGACAACCUGAUGGAGGGCAGCACGAUCACCGUGGACGACGCCAUCCAAUUCCGGAACCUUGACCUGUACCCGACGAGGCCAUCCAGGAUCUGCAUCGUUGACGCGCCCAGCCUGCGAAGAAUCGGCUCUCUCGAUCUCUUCAUCACCGUCUUGGAGAUCAAAGGCGUUGUGAUUCAGGCUGGGAUGGUGCAGCGUCCUCCAAAGAAGCGUUCUGUCAGGAUUCUCGGCUUACGGGUGAACUACACAGAGAUGGGUCACAGGGUGCCCCGUGAGAUAGAGCAGAUUCUGAAGUGUUUCCCACUCUUAGAGCAACUGGAGAUCAUGAGAGACGAUGAGGUUACACAAGAAGAAAGGCUCCUCGAAGCGGAUGAUGAACACAUCUAUCAAGGGAACAAUUUCUUCCGUGACCUUGGUUGUUUCAAGCAUCACCUGAGGCGGAUAUAUCUUACAGGUUUCAGAGGGGGCAAGUAUGAACUUGCUCUGGGCAAAGCCAUCCUCGACGAAGCUCGAGCUGGGAGUCUGGGACACAGUUCAAAAUAUCAAAAUUUGAAACCGCAGAGAGAGGCGGCAGCUUGCUCCACACGCCUCCGCCCUGUCGAGAUUUCCGACUCGCCGGAGAGAGGAAUGGACAACGUUCGCCGGAGCAGCGUCACCUCCGUCAUGUCCGGCAUCGGGUCCUCGCCGGCGGCGCUCACCGAGUCCACUCCGCGCGCCACGCUCGCGCCUCCCUCCAACCGGCACGCCGACUGGCGGGGGCUCCCGGACGCCGCCGUCGCCCGCGUCCUCGACCGCCUCCCCGUCCUCGACCUCUUCCGCCUCGGCUACCUCUUCUCCCCGCGCUGGCUCGACAUCUGGCGCCGCCUACCGCUGUAUCUCCACGACCACCAGUUCGCCGCUCCCCCGAUCGCCGCCGACGACGUCGCCCAAGCAAUCACCAACGUCCUCGAGCUCCACGUUCGCAACGGCGUCCAAUUCGUACCCGUACAAGGCGGCGGCGGCGGUGGCGGUGGCGGUGGACAUGGAGGCAACGAGGUAGCUGCCCGGGAUGGCGGAGGAGGCGACGUCAGCAGCGACGACGAGGAGUACGGCAUCUACGACGACGUCACCGCCAACGACGACGGUGGCUACGAGAUCGGCCGCGUCUGGUGCUUCCGAGUAGAGACCACGCCAUGGCGCAACGGCCACCUCCACCGCUGGUGCGCCGCGCUCCGGCGAGGCCGUGCUCGCGUCGUCGUCCUCGCCAACCUCUACCUACUAGAGCACACCCGCCUUCCUCGAGCCCUCCUCGACGGCACCAGCCUCGUGGCGCUCCACCUCUUCUACUUCACCGUGGAAGCCUACCACAUCGACAGGCUCCGCGGCCUCGGGCUGUACGGCUGCGUCCUGGAACCCGGCAUGAUCGAGCGAGUCCUCCACCCCGAAUCAGAGAUCCGGGAGCUCGCAAUCCACAGCGCCAUGGGGGGAACCAUCGCCGUCGUCGCCGCCGCCGCCACGCGCCUCCGGUCUCUGCGCAUGUUCAACAUCCAGGUGGGCACGGUCGCCGUGGACGACGCCGUCGAGCUGCGGAAUCUUCACAUGCGCGACACGAGGCCAUCCAGGAUCGCCAUCAAUGGCGCGCCCAGGUUGCGAAGAAUCAUCUCUCUUGACAUCUUCCACACCGUCUUGGAGAUCCAAGGCAUAGUGAUUCAGGCUGGGAUGGUGGAGCAGCCUCCAGAGAUCCGUUCUGUCAGGCAUCUCGGCUUACGGGUGAACUACACAGCGAUGGUCGACAUGUUGCCCCGCCAGAUAGAGCAGAUCCUGAGGAGUUUCCCACGCGUAAAAUCACUGGAUAUCUGGAGAUGCGAUGACGUUACACAAGCAGAAGGGCUCCUCCAAUGGGACGAUGUACACUAUGAUGGGAGCAAUUUCUUCGAUGGCCUUGAGAGCUUCAACCAUCACCUGAGGUGGAUAUAUCUUAGAGGUUUCAGAGGGGGAAAGUGUGAAGUUGCUCUGAUGAAAAUCAUGCUGGACAAAGCUAGAGUCCUGACACUGUUAAGGAUGGAGUACUCGCCAUUGCCAAGCAGCCUCAUCGAGCACACCCUGAAUGAGCUCGACUUGUCUCUCUGGAUUUUCAAGACGCACACUCCAAAUGAUGCCGUCAGAGGCGAUCUUGUGUCCUUUGUUGCAGCUGAUGCUUCCGGAAGGUGCGUACGACUAGCAGCGCAAGGCUAAGGUUAGGUGUUGUUCUGUCUGUGCUCUGCUUUGUCGAGAGAGAGAGAGAAUCUUAGAUUGGCUCUUCAAUUUCUUCAGUCUGUCUAGCUAGUCAAAUGAUGCUAACUGAUAUUCUGCUAAGUGAGUGAAUGAUGC